rnacentral:rRNA from 1 species
CAGCCGCCGCGGUAAUACGUAGGUGGCAAGCGUUGUCCGGAAUUAUUGGGCGUAAAGGGCUCGCAGGCGGUCUCUUAAGUCUGAUGUGAAAGCCCCCGGCUCAACCGGGGAGGGUCAUUGGAAACUGGGAAACUUGAGUGCAGAAGAGGAGAGUGGAAUUCCACGUGUAGCGGUGAAAUGCGUAGAGAUGUGGAGGAACACCAGUGGCGAAGGCGACUCUCUGGUCUGUAACUGACGCUGAGGCGCGAAAGCGUGGGGAGCAAACAGGAUUAGAUACCCGCGUAGUCCCUGUCUCUUAUAA